CCAGACUCCUACGGGAGGCAGCAGUGGGGAAUAUUGGACAAUGGGGGGAACCCUGAUCCAGCGACGCCGCGUGAGUGAAGAAGUAUUUCGGUAUGUAAAGCUCUAUCAGCAGGGAAGAAAGAAAUGACGGUACCUGACUAAGAAGCCCCGGCUAACUACGUGCCAGCAGCCGCGGUAAUACGUAGGGGGCAAGCGUUAUCCGGAUUUACUGGGUGUAAAGGGAGCGUAGACGGCGAUGCAAGUCUGAAGUGAAAGGCGGGGGCCCAACCCCCGGACUGCUCUGGAAACUGCGGCGCUGGAGUACGGGAGGGGCAGGCGGAAUUCCUGGUGUAGCGGUGAAAUGCGUAGAUAUCAGGAGGAACACCGGCGGCGAAGGCGGCCUGCUGGACCGUGACUGACGUUGAGGCUCGAGAGCGUGGGGAGCAAACAGGAUUAGAUACCCGCGUA
rnacentral:rRNA from 1 species